GGAGCCAGCCGCCGAAGGUGGGACAGAUAAUUGGGGUGAAGUCGUAACAAGGUAGCCGUAUCGGAAGGUGCGGCUGGAUCACCUCCUUUCUAAGGAA
rnacentral:rRNA from 1 species